GCGAGCAGUGGCACGGGUCACUUCGGGAGCGCGGAACGAGCGGUUUAUUUAAAUUAUUGUGCCGUUUCGUUUAAUUUAUUCAGUUUGUUGCUUGCCGCUGUCGCGAGCGGACGUGUGCUCAAGCAAAUCAAAAUUUUCCGGUUUAAAUUUUAAAUUCGGUGAUCGCGGUUAGUGUUUGUGUGUGUGUGUUAGUGCCAAUGGAGUCUUCAAGAAGGAAACAACAAUCCGGAUUAAAGGUAGGUCCGUUUAAGAAGAAGAUGGCAUCGGAACAGGAGACUAAGGUCAGUGCUUUUUUUUUUAUUUGCGGUUAAUUUAUUUUCAUUAUCUUGCUACAAACGGUAGCAGACGUGC